rnacentral:rRNA from 1 species
AUUGAACGCUGGCGGCAGGCCUAACACAUGCAAGUCGAGCGGAGCGGCGGACGGGUGAGUAAUGCCUAUGAAUCUGCCUGGACGUGGGGGAUAACGUCCGGAAACGGGCGCUAAUACCGCAUACUAUCAGAUGAGCCUAGGUCGGAGUAGCUAGUUGGUGGGGUAAAGGCCUACCCAGGCGACGAUCCGUAACUGGUCUGAGGGGAUGAUCAGUCACACUGGAACUGAGACACGGUCCAGACUCCUACGGGAGGCAGCAGUGGGGAAUAUUGCACAAGGGGCGCAAGCCUGAUGCAGCCAUGCCGCGUGUAUGAAGAAGGCCUUCGGGUUGUAAAGUACUUUCAGCGGGGAGGCGUUACCCGCAGAAGAAGCACCGGCUAACUCCGUGCCAGCAGCCGCGGUAAUAC